UACGGGAGGCAGCAGUGGGGAAUAUUGGACAAUGGGCGCAAGCCUGAUCCAGCCAUGCCGCGUGUGUGAACAAGGCCUUAUGGUUGUAAAGCAGUUUAAGCGAGGAGGAGGCUACUUUAGUUAAUACCUAGAGAUAGUGGACGUUACUCGCAGAAUAAGCACCGGCUAACUCUGUGCCAGCAGCCGCGGU
rnacentral:rRNA from 1 species